GGGCCCGUCGUCUAGCCUGGUUAGGACGCCGCCCUCACACGGCGGAGGUCCGGGGUUCAAAUCCCCGCGGGCCCA
rfam:Aeropyrum pernix K1 DNA, complete genome.